rnacentral:rRNA from 1 species
GUCGUAACAAGGUUUGCCGUGAGGUGAACCUGCGGAUGGAUCAUUAAUUAUGUUAAAGCGCCUUACCUCUUAGGGUUUCCUCUGGGGUAAGUGAUUGCUUCUACACUGUGAAAAUUUGGCUGAGAGACUCAGACUGGUCAUGGGUAGACCUAUCUGGGGUUUGAUCGAUGCCACUCCUGGUUUCAGGAGCACCCUUCAUAAUAAACCUAGAAAUUCAGUAUUAUAAAGUUUAAUAAAAAACAACUUUUAACAAUGGAUCUCUUGGUUCUCGCAUCGAUGAAGAACGUAGCAAAGUGCGAUAACUAGUGUGAAUUGCAUAUUCAGUGAAUCAUCGAGUCUUUGAACGCAGCUUGCACUCUAUGGUUUUUCUAUAGAGUACGCCUGCUUCAGUAUCAUCACAAACCCACACAUAACAUUUGUUUAUGUGGUAAUGGGUCGCAUCGCUGUUUUAUUACAGUGAGCACCUAAAAUGUGUGUGAUUUUCUGUCUGGCUUGCUAGGCAGGAAUAUUACGCUGGUCUCAGGAUCUUUUUCUUUGGUUCGCCCAGGAAGUAAAGUACAAGAGUAUAAUCCAGCAACUUUCAAACUAUGAUCUGAAGUCAGGUGAGCGCAAUUACCCGCUGAACUUAAGCAUAUCAAU